ACGUGCUGUGUGUGAGGGAGGCCAUCAAGUUUGCUGCAGACUACUGCAGAGCCGGGAAGGGUCCUAUUGUGAUGGAGCUGGAGACCUACCGUUACCAUGGACACAGCAUGAGCGACCCCGGCGUUAGCUACCGUUCACGUGAGGAGAUCCAGGAAGUGCGCAGUAAGAGUGACCCCAUCACCAUGCUGAAGGAACGCAUGCUGUCCAACAACAUGGCUUCUGUGGAGGAGA